AUUGAACGCUGGCGGCAGGCUUAACACAUGCAAGUCGCGCGAGCGGCGGACGGGUGAGUAAUGUCUGGGAAACUGCCUGAUGGAGGGGGAUAACUACUGGAAACGGUAACUAAUACCGCAUACAAUCAGAUUUGCCCAAAUGGGAUUAGCUAGUAGGUGGGGUAAUGGCUCACCUCGGCGACGAUCCCUCGCUGGUCUGAGAGGAUGACCAGCAACACUGGAACUGAGACACGGUCCAGACUCCUACGGGAGGCAGCAGUGGGGAAUAUUGCAAAAUGGGCGCAAGCCUGAUGCAGCCAUGCCGCGUGUGUGAAGAAGGCCUUCGGGUUGUAAAGCACUUUCAGCGAGGAGGCGUUACUCGCAGAAGAAGCACCGGCUAACUCCGUGCCAGCAGCCGCGGUAAUAC
rnacentral:rRNA from 1 species